rnacentral:rRNA from 1 species
AGAGUUUGAUCCUGGCUCANAUUGAACGCUGGCGGCAUGCCUUACACAUGCAAGUCGAACGGUAGAGGGGCAACCCUUGAGAGUGGCGAACGGGUGAGUAAUAUAUCGGAACGUGCCCAGUCGUGGGGGAUAACGCAGCGAAAGCUGCGCUAAUACCGCAUACGAUCUAAGGAUGAAAGCGGGGGAUCGCAAGACCUCGCGCGAUUGGAGCGGCCGAUAUCAGAUUAGGUAGUUGGUGGGGUAAAAGCCCACCAAGCCGACGAUCUGUAGCUGGUCUGAGAGGACGACCAGCCACACUGGGACUGAGACACGGCCCAGACUCCUACGGGAGGCAGCAGUGGGGAAUUUUGGACAAUGGGCGCAAGCCUGAUCCAGCAAUGCCGCGUGCAGGACGAAGGCCCUCGGGUUGUAAACUGCUUUUGUACGGAGCGAAACGGUCUGGGUUAAUACCCUGGGCUAAUGACGGUACCGUAAGAAUAAGCACCGGCUAACUACGUGCCAGCCGCCGCGGUAAUUC